AAAUAUUUCCCGGGGAAUGUUGACGCUUGUUCAGGCAGCUGUCGCGUCAGUCUCAGGGCAGAGCCGUGCGGAAGAUGACUGUACAUAACUUGUACAUAUUUGAUCGCAAUGGCAGCUGCCUUCAUUACAGCGAAUGGAACCGAAAGAAACAAGCCGGAAUCUCCCAAGAAGAGGAGUUUAAGCUGAUGUACGGGAUGCUGUUCUCCAUCCGCUCCUUCAUCAGCAAGAUGAGUCCCCUGGACAUGUAUCCUUCC